GACAGAGGGGGCAAGCGUUGCUCGGAAUCACUGGGCGUAAAGGGCGCGUAGGCGGGAAGGCAAGUCAGUCGGGAAAUCUCUCGGCUCAACCGAGAAACGUCGGCUGAUACUGCCGUUCUUGAGGGAUGCAGAGGAGACUGGAAUUCCCGGUGUAGCGGUGAAAUGUGUAGAGAUCGGGAGGAACACCGGUGGCGAAGGCGGGUCUCUGGGCAUUUCCUGACGCUGAGGCGCGAAAGCGUGGGGAGCAAACGGG
rnacentral:rRNA from 1 species